CGAACGGGUGAGUAAUACAUAAGUAACCUGCCCUAGACAGGGGGAUAACUAUUGGAAACGAUAGCUAAGACCGCAUAGGUACGGACACUGCAUGGUGACCGUAUUAAAAGUGCCUCAAAGCACUGGUAGAGGAUGGACUUAUGGCGCAUUAGCUGGUUAGCGGGGUAACGGGCCCACCAAGGCGACGAUGCGUAGCCGACCUGAGAGGGUGACCGGCCACACUGGGACUGAGACACGGCCCAGACUCCUACGGGAGGCAGCAUG
rnacentral:rRNA from 1 species